AGAAUAUGUGAGAGAAACAGCCCUGAAGACCCCAAGUUACUCAUUAGAAAAGAAGAAAAGAACGAGGAUCAGAGGGUCAAGGAUGGAAAUGAUAAAGAAGAGCCAAGGAGAACAUCUGGACCAUCUGGAUACCUUCCCAUAUUCAGCUCCAAGGACACUGGGCUAAUUAAAGCUAUUGAUGGAAAAGUCCCUGGCAAUUGAAAUGGGCCUACAACAGAACCAACCAGAACAAAGCCCGCGAACCCAAGCCCAAUCAAGUGACUAUGGGAGGGGGAGUUGAAAAAGUAUAAAAGUUGCUGUUUGUUUUUAUUGGGCCUGUGGGCCGGUGGGGAGCAGGGGUCUCCUCAGGCCACCUAGCGUGCUGAUUUGCUUAUCUGCACUUUAUAUAAAUCUCACAAUAAAUUUUACUGCUAAAUUUU